UUCUCUGGUUGAUCCUGCCAGAGGUUACUGCUAUCGAGGUUCGACUAAGCCAUGCGAGUCGAAUGUAGCAAUACAUGGCGUACUGCUCAGUAACACGUGGAUAACUUACCCUUAGGACGGGGAUAAACCCGGGAAACUGGGUAUAAUACCCGAUAGAUCUCGAUUGCUGGAAUGCAUCGAGAUCCAAAGCUCCGGCGCCUAAGGAUGGAUCUGCGGCCUAUCAGGUAGUAGUGGGUGUAGCGUACCUACUAGCCUACGACGGGUACGGGUUGUGAGAGCAAGAGCCCGGAGAUGGAUUCUGAGACAUGAAUCCAGGCCCUACGGGGCGCAGCAGGCGCGAAAACUUUACAAUGCGGGAAACCGUGAUAAGGGGACACCGAGUGCCAGCAUCAUAUGCUGGCUGUCCGUGUGCGUAAAAUACACCUGUUAGCAAGGGCCGGGCAAGACCGGUGCCAGCCGCCGCGGUAACACCGGCGGCCCGAGUGGUGAUCGUGAUUAUUGGGUCUAAAGGGUCCGUAGCCGGUUUGGUCAGUCCUCCGGGAAAUCUGACGGCUCAACCGUUAGGCUUUCGGGGGAUACUGCCAGACUUGGAACCGGGAGAGGUAAGAGGUACUACAGGGGUAGGAGUGAAAUCUUGUAAUCCCUGUGGGACCACCUGUGGCGAAGGCGUCUUACCAGAACGGGUUCGACGGUGAGGGACGAAAGCUGGGGGCACGAACCGGAUUAGAUACCCGGGUAGUCCCAGCCGUAAACGAUGCUCGCUAGGUGUCAGGCAUGGCGCGACCGUGUCUGGUGCCGCAGGGAAGCCGUGAAACGAGCCACCUGGGAAGUACGGCCGCAAGGCUGAAACUUAAAGGAAUUGGCGGG
rnacentral:rRNA from 1 species